rnacentral:rRNA from 1 species
CAUAUGCUUGUCUCAAAGAUUAAGCCAUGCAUGUGCAAGUACAUACCUUAUUAAGGUGAAACCGCGAAAAGCUCAUUAAAUCAGUUACGGUUCAUUUGAUAUUAAAUUUUUACAUGGAUAACUGUGGUAAAUCUAGAGCUAAUACGUGAACUAAAGCUUUAACCUUUAAUGGAAAAAGCGCAUUUAUUAGACCAAGACCAAUGGUUAUGCAUUUUAUGUGUAACCUUUAACCUUUGGUGACUCUGAAUAACUGAGCUAAUCGCAUGGCCUAUGCGCCGGCGAUAUAUCAUUCAAGCGUCUGCCUUAUCAACUGUAGAUGGUAGGUUAUGUGCCUACCAUGGUUGUAACAGGUGACGGGGAAUCAGGGUUCGAUUCCGGAGAGGGAGCCUGAGAAACGGCUACCACAUCCAAGGAAGGCAGCAGGCACGCAAAUUACCCACUCUCAGAACGAGGAGGUAGUGACGAAAAAUAACAAUACGGGACUAUUAAUAGGCCCCGUAAUUGGAAUGAGUACAAUAUAAAUCCUUUAACGAGGAUCAAUUGGAGGGCAAGUCUGGUGCCAGCAGCCGCGGUAAUUCCAGCUCCAAUAGCGUAUAUUAAAGUUGCUGCGUUUAAAAAGCUCGUAGUUGUAUCUCAGUUUAUGUCAAAAUGGUCAAUUCACUUAUUAGUGAUUACUUUUUGACUAAACAUUGCGACCGAUUUGUUUUGCUGAUGCUCUUUACCGAGUGUUGUAAUAACAAUCGGAAUCUUUACUUUGAAAAAAUUAGAGUGCUCAAAGCAGGCAUUUUUUGCCUAAAUAUUCUUGCAUGGAAUAAUGGAAUAAGAUCUAGGUUCUAUUCUGUUGGUCUUGUUGAACCUCAGUUAAUGAUUAAAAGGGACAGACGGGGGCAUUCGUAUUGCGGCGCUAGAGGUGAAAUUCUUGGACCGUCGCAAGACGAACUACCGCGAAAGCAUUUGCCAAGAAUGUUUUCAUUAAUCAAGAACGAAAG